rnacentral:lncRNA from 1 species
UCAGGCUCAAGCUUACAAGUAUCAGGCGAUGUGAGCCGCGCUCUACUCACAACAGUCAACAGCAUGAGAGCCUCGCUCUUCCCGCUGUACAAUCCCGCCUCAGCCGAGACUCAUCUCACACUUCCGGCUGGUAAUUGGCUCUAAUACCAACAGUGAUGCCCCAACUUCCCAGAGGGGCACCUAUCCUAGGACUACUCUCGUCCUAGUACGCUUAAUUCUCUUAACCUCUUAGACCUUACCACCACCGAAAAUACUUAAGCCGGGUUGAGAGUUUUGCCCUAUAUAUUAUAUCUCAUAUAUAGGAUUAUCUGGGUUCUCACA